rnacentral:sRNA from 1 species
UAAUAUUUUUAUUUUAUAGUUUACAAUUGUUACUAAGUAACGUCCUGCCAAACCCGUCCCGCUAAAUCCGUCCACCAAAAAAACUAUUUAU